rnacentral:rRNA from 1 species
UGACUGAGCUGCGCACGGCUCAUUAUCACAGGCUUUCAACCUUUUUCUUAAAUCCCAAUGGGAUAACUGCAUGAAAUGCGGGAGCUCAUACCCGCACUUAAGACCCAACGCAGAUUCGGUUGCAAUUAUUACGUCAAACCAAUCAUCCCCGUGCCGUAUUGGGGCGACUCCGUUUAACCCGAUCUAUCCUCCGUAUAAUCCGACCAAGGCCCAAAAGGGUUUCUGCCCUAUGUCUGAUCUGUAACUUUCUAUACUACCGUGGUUGUCACGGGUACCGGAGAAUUGGGGUUUGACUCCAGAGAGGGAGCCUUAGAAACGGCUACCAAAACACAGGAAUGCCACCCGCGGAAAGCUUAUCGCCUGUCAAAUAUGAAAUAGUGACUAAAAAUAUAAAAUCCCUCCCUCAUGGGAGGGAUAUUUAAAUGAGUAUGAGGUUAAAAAGCUCUUCGAGAAACUAAGAAAGGGCAAGUCUGGUGCCAGCAGCCGCGGUAAUUCCAGCUCUCUAAGUGUAAAUCGUUAUUGUUGCGGUUAAAAAGCUCGUAGUUGGAUUUAUGGUGGAUCAGUGUGCGUUCGCUCUAUCGGGCGUUAAUGCCUACGCCAUCAUUUCGGCAGUUUGCG